CCUGAUCAGCGGAUACACGAGCGUGUCGGACUGAUCCGAGUGCCUGUAAACAGGCGGAGUCCGGCUGUUCUUACAUGAAAGCGUUACAUGUCGUCUGUCAUCUGUGGGGCUCCACCAGCCCCCCCUCCCUCAGGUGGGGGACCCCGGGGGGCGGCGCCUCACAUCCUGAGCCUGUUACCAUGGAAGCGGAGGUCACCCGUUAGGUGCAGGUUUGACCUCGCGGCUCCAGGAAUCAGAGCCGUCACUGAACUGAACACCCAAAAGAUCCUGAAGAGGAAGUCUGAAGGUUUGGUGGACUUCACCAGUUUGGCCCGACCUCUAAAGACGUUUUAGGAUCCACUCAGAUGCUGGAGGAUCUCCAAACCUGUGGAAAAGUACAGGAGCAGGAGGAAACCCCUCGGAACAGACGGUGACAUGGAAGGGGUGGACACGAGAACACAGAAGGAAAAAAAGAUUCUCGGGUCGUCCAUCCCCAGAGGACCCACAGGGUCAAAAUUAGCCCCUCCCCCUUUUUAGAUGCAUUACUUUAAAAAUGAAUUUUAUUUUGUUAUUUUUAUGCUUUUGUUUUCACUUGUUUGGCUGCUGUUAAUUGUUGCUUCCCAAAAAUCAACUUUAAAAAACCCUAAAAAAUGUUUUUUUGUUUCUCCAGCCUAAAUUCUUUAGACUUUAGUUGGAAAAUAAAACUGAUUUCAUCAAGUUAUACAAGAAUGGAAACGAAAUGCCUUCAAUAAAUAAAAAACUAAAAAUAAAAAAUGUUUAAAAAUGAAAAAACUAAUUUUCAUUUGAAUUUUUCCAUGUUUAAAAAGAAGAGUCGUCUUCAUUCUCAGUUUUUCGUGUUUAAAAAAGUAAUUUUUGUUCAAAUUCUU